rnacentral:tRNA from 1 species
UCCCUGGUGGCCCAGUGGUUAGGACUCUGCACUUCCACUUCAGCGUCGCAGGUUCAAUCCCUGGUCGGGGAG